GACGAACGCUGGCGGCGUGCUUAACACAUGCAAGUCGAGCGGAAAGGCCCUUUCGGGGGUACUCGAGCGGCGAACGGGUGAGUAACACGUGAGUAAUCUGCCCUUGGCUUUGGGAUAACUACCGGAAACGGUGGCUAAUACCGAAUACGACCACUCCUUGCAUGAGGUGGUGGUGGAAAGUUUUUUCGGCCAGGGAUGUGCUCGCGGCCUAUCAGCUUGUUGGUGGGGUAAUGGCCUACCAAGGCUUCGACGGGUAGCCGGCCUGAGAGGGUGACCGGCCACACUGGGACUGAGACACGGCCCAGACUCCUACGGGAGGCAGCAGUGGGAAUAUUGGACAAUGGGCGGAAGCCUGAUCCAGCAACGCCGCGUGAGGGAUGACGGCCUUCGGGUUGUAACCUCUUCUAGUACCGACGAAGCG
rnacentral:rRNA from 1 species